rnacentral:rRNA from 1 species
GAUGAACGCUGGCGGCGUGCCUAAUACAUGCAAGUCGAGCGAACAGACGAGGAGCUUGCUCCUCUGACGUUAGCGGCGGACGGGUGAGUAACACGUGGAUAACCUACCUAUAAGACUGGGAUAACUUCGGGAAACCGGAGCUAAUACCGGAUAAUAUAUUGAACCGCAUGGUUCAAUAGUGAAAGACGGUUUUGCUGUAACUUAUAGAUGGAUCCGCGCCGAAUUAGCUAGUUGGUAGGGUAACGGCUUACCAAGGCAACGAUGGGUAGCCGACCUGAGAGGGUGACCGGCCACACUGGAACUGAGCCACGGCCCAGACUCCUACGGGAGGAAGCAGUAGGGAAUCUUCCGCAAUGGGCGAAAGCUUGACGGAGCAACGCCGCGUGAGUGAUGAAGGUCUUCGGAUCUUAAAACUCUGUUAUUAGGGAAGAACAAAUGUGUAAGUAACUAUGCACGUCUUGACGGUACCUAAUCAGAAAGCCACGGCUAACUACGUG